AGCCUUGCCCUUUCACCGUGUUCCUGCUCUCUCUGUUGCUCACCAACUCCUUCUCUUCCAAAUACUCCUCUUUUUUCCCCAACAGUCCGGUUUCUGUCACUCUUCCUUGAGCUUAGUGGUGUUCCCCCCUCCCCUGCCCUCCCCUCCCUCACUUGCUUGUUCCUCGUUUUCCUCCCCUCCUCCUCCUCCUCCUUUCCCGGUCAGCUCGUCUCCUCCGGCGAGAGUGAGCGCUAUGCUGGAACCGUUCCGUCGCCUCCUCCCCCAGCGGGCAGGGCUCAAGAGGAGCGCAUGGGGAGCUCUCUCUCUCUUUCUCUCUUCCUCCCUCUUUCGUCUCCUCACAGGGUGAUGAGGGAGCAGCGCUGUUGGCGGUAGAGGAGAGUUGCCUUACCCAGCCGCCUCUCUCCUCCCCCCCACAUUGAGUCCUCUUUCCUCUCGUGAGUGUGGUCUAGGUGCCUCUCCGGCUCCUCUUAAUUCUCCCCGUUCACCAUUUCUGCCUUGCCGCCUUCCUGUUAUCUUCUCUCCUCGUCUCCUUCAGCAGCCAGAUGAAGACUUGGAGACGGUUUCCUUGAAUGAAGGUAGCGGCUGCUUUCGAACUUUCAGCAGCGCUGGCAGUAGUCGGCUUUGUACCGACCUGCCAAAUCCUUGGAGUUUGGACUGUAAAGCAGAGGACAUGCUUACAGGGAAGCUGAGCGGGACGGCCCGUCCCAAUUCCACUGUCAAGCUGCCCAAAAGGGUGAAGUACCUGGAGAUGGGUUGAAAACAUGCAGGGCAGAAGUAGAAUAGCCUCAAGACUCUCUUCUUGUCCCCAUAAAUAAAUGAAUGAAUAAAUAAAUAACAGUCAAACAGCA